GUGGGGAAUUUUGGACAAUGGGCGCAAGCCUGAUCCAGCAAUGCCGCGUGCAGGAAGAAGGCCUUCGGGUUGUAAACUGCUUUUGUCAGGGAAGAAAUCUUCUGGGCUAAUACCCCGGGAGGAUGACGGUACCUGAAGAAUAAGCACCGGCUAACUACGUGCCAGCAGCCGCGGUAAUACGUAGGGUGCGAGCGUUAAUCGGAAUUACUGGGCGUAAAGCGUGCGCAGGCGGCUUUGCAAUACAGAUGUGAAAUCCCCGGGCUCAACCUGGGAACUGCAUUUGUGACUGCAAGGCUAGAGUACGGCAGAGGGGGAUGGAAUUCCGCGUGUAGCAGUGAAAUGCGUAGAUAUGCGGAGGAACACCAAUGGCGAAGGCAAUCCCCUGGGCCUGUACUGACGCUCAUGCACGAAAGCGUGGGGAGCAAACAGGAUUAGAAACCCGGGUAGUCC
rnacentral:rRNA from 1 species